GCUGGAGUGGCGGAAUGGCAUACGCGUCGGUCUCAAAAACCGAUGUCCUUACGGGCUUGUGGGUUCAACUCCCACCUCCAGCACCA
rnacentral:tRNA from 1 species